GUACUUACCUGGCAGAGAAAAUACUGUGAUCACGGAGGUAGCCUUUCAGGGCAAGGCUUAUCCAUUGCACUGUGGAUAUGCUAACUCCUGUGAUUUCCCCAAAUGUGGUAAAUUCAACUGCAUAAUUUAUGGUAAUGAGGGACUGUGUUUAUGUUCUCCCCUUU